GAUGAACGCUGGCGGCGUGCCUAAUACAUGCAAGUCGAGCGAACAGACGUGGUACUUGCUCCUCCGAGGUUAGCGGCGGACGGGUGAGUAACACGUGGAGAACCUACCUAUAAGAGUGGGACAACUUCGGGAAACGGGUGCUAAUACCGGAUAAUAUCUUGAACCGCAUGGUUCAAGAGUGAAAGACGCGUUUGCUGUCACUUAUGGAUGGAUCCCGGUCGAUUUAGCUGUUUGGGAAGGUAACGGCUUACCAGGGCAACGAUGCGAAGCCGACCGGAGGGGUGGUCGGGCCACAUGGGAACGGGACCACGGUCCAGACUCCUCCGGGAGGCGCCAGUAGGGAAUCUUCGGCAAUGGGGGAAAGCCUGACGGAGCAACGCGGCGUGGGUGAUGAAGUUCUUCGGUUCGUAAACCUCUGUUAUUGGGGAAAAACAAAUUUGUAAGUAACUGUGCACGUCUUGACGGUACCUAAUCAGAAAGCCACGGCUAACUACGUG
rnacentral:rRNA from 1 species